rnacentral:rRNA from 1 species
GAUCAUGGCUCAGGAUGAACGCUAGCUACAGGCUUAACACAUGCAAGGUACGAGGGGAAACGACAUCGAAAGCUUGCUUUUGAUGGGCGUCGACCGGCGCACGGGUGAGUAACGCGUAUCCAACCUGCCCACACUUGGGGAUAACCUUGCGAAAGUAAGACUAAUACCCAAUGAUAUCCCACGAAGGCAUCCGAAUGGGAUUAAAGAUUUAUCGGUGAUGGAUGGGGAUGCGUCUGAUUAGCUUGUUGGCGGGGUAACGGCCCACCAAGGCAACGAUCAGUAGGGGUUCUGAGAGGAAGGUCCCCCACAUUGGAACUGAGACACGGUCCAAACUCCUACGGGAGGCAGCAGUGAGGAAUAUUGGUCAAUGGGCGAGAGCCUGAACCAGCCAAGUAGCGUGCAGGAUGACGGCCCUAUGGGUUGUAAACUGCUUUUAUAAGGGAAUAAAGUGAGCCUCGUGAGGCUUUUUGCAUGUACCUUAUGAAUAAGGACCGGCUAAUUCCGUG